ACACCAUACAAUCCGAUGGAGUUCUAAUCACCCACUGUAACACAUAUGACCCAGGGUGUUUUUGCCUUUGCUGUUGCAUAAUAAUGGGUUCAUUAGACCAACUGCGAUUUACUUAUCAAAAGAUGGCAAAGGACGAAUACACUCGAACACUAAAAAAAAGAACACUGUCAUACUUGAGUACAGGUCAGCAUUUAAUUAGUGCAUAAGAACUUGGGAAUGUUCAUCUGAGAGGCCAUCUUGGAGCAUGAUGAAGAAUGUUGGAGUCCUACAGUAUUUGGGUGUUUUGCAGUGAGUAGAGGAUGGAGAGUGGAUGGAGACCGCCGACUUGCCUGCAAGAUAUGUGACCCCAGUCGGAAAUUCCAACAUGGACUUGAUUCACCUGUGGACGGGGCGAGGUGGCCAUCGGGAAUUUCAGGUGAUUCCCAAACAGCCGGCCCAUUAAAGCCAACCCCACCGCCAACCCCCACCCCUCCUCCAAUCCUUGAACAUCAUUACGUUUCGGCACAAUAUGGUUGCCAGCCGACCCCACCUAUGAAGGAUUAUUCCUGGGCCAAAUUUUUUUUCCCAGCAUGUCUCUCAAUGGGAACCUGGAGGACUGAGAAAGCAUUUUCAAAUGGUACACUAUUGUAGUUCACGGUACACGUGAACUACAUACAAUAGUGACGUUGUUGCACUGAAGACGCUGCCAAAGUGCGUCCCAUGCCGCCGCGUCAGGUCUCGACUCAGGUAGGCACUGAUUCCUUUUUAUAAACUCACAAGCUGUUGUAUCGACUUCAUUUUUGUUUCGUUCAUGUUCGGGGCCAUUAUGGCUGUUGCUCAUCA